rnacentral:tRNA from 1 species
GGCCGAGGUGGUCCGGGUCGUGGGAUCGGCCCUGCCGGAGCUGGGCCUGACGCGGACGCCUACGCCCCGGGUCCGGAUCCGAGUGCGGCCCC